AUGUACAUUUUUUAUCAUAAACAGAAUACAACAUUGAAAAGAAAUGUACAAAGGAUGCGGACUGUACAAAAUUGAGAGAUGCAACUUGCAGAUUUUUGAAAAUUUGUAGAUGUAAUCGUGCAAAUUUUUUUAACACAACUAAUGAAAGAAAUGUAUUCCAGGUUUCAAAAUAUCAUAAAAAGAGAUUUAUAUAUAUUUGUUAAAAUGCUCUACCCGUAAAAUUCACUUUUCAUGGGAAUAGCAUAGAUUCACAACGCUAUUUUUUAGUACAGAUGAGCCGCUGAUAGUGUUAAUAUCAAAGAAGAUUGGGAAUGUUCCAAGAGACUUAUAACUAUGUAUUUUAUCAUUGCAAAAUUUUCUGAAAUGUCUUCUUUGCUUAAACAAGGAUGAAAACAAACAUUUCUUAACGCAAACUAUUCUCGUAGAACUUGGAAAACCAUGUGAAACUGGAGCGAAUAAAAUUCGAAUCGAAGGUUCGGAAUGUCGAAACGGCACAUGGUUUUGUAAACUGGAGAAAGUUGCUUCUAAAGAUAAUAGAAAAUGUGAAACAGUAACUGUACAAUAUAACGAUACUUGCGAAAACGCUGUGCAGUGUUAAGCUUUCGGACCAGAUGCUAUCUGCAAAGAUAAACGAUGUGCUUGAAAUGAGAAAUCUCCGUUUAACGAGACUGAGUUGUUUUGUUGGACAAAAAGAGGGAUAGGUGAAUCGUGUCACCAAAACGUAGAUUGUUAUAUUGAUGGUAUCGAUACUAAGUAAUUUUGCGAUGCAAGGAAGUUAUGUUUCUGCCCAACUCAAGCAACCAAUAAUAAGACAACCUGUGUGAAAGAUAUAAGUGAUCUUGGAGAUAUUUGUGAAAUAGAUAACGAUUGUACAAAACGGAUCAAGAAUGCAAAAUGUACAGACAUGACUUGUGUUUGUAUAGAUACUUAUUACGAGUUAAACAAGCAAUGCGUGCCUGGUCUCAAUUCCAGUUGCAUUUCUAAUGCUAGUUGUGUACCAAAAGAUUCAAUAUGCAAAUCGAAUGAUUGCAUUUGUAAGGAACAGUACAUGACUGAAUCAGCCGACACGUGUGUUCAAGCCUUUUCGUAUGGAAAACCUUGCGAUAAAAAUAUUCAGUGUUCUGCUGUGAUACCAAACGCAGUUUGUUUACCUCGUCCAACUUCAAACUCGAGUUGCGUAUGCGCCUGUCCUAAAGGUUAUCAUUACAAGUUCAAGAAAUGUUUCAAACGAAAAGGUACGAAAAUAUAUACAUGUGUGCUGUGUACAAUUUCAUGACUCGUUAAUUAACCUGUUAACAAGGAAAGGCGAAUUAAUGUUCACAAAUACACCCCCUUAAUUAAGAUUUUGUCGCGUCAAUCCCAAAAUUUUUUUUUAUUAUAUUCGCGAGUGGCAACUCGAAACCCGCAAUUUAUAUAUUUUCUCUUCAUAAUGUGAUAAAUAAUAGAUCGUAAAGAAAUUUUACACAUAAAAAAAGCCAAAAUUUAAUCUCAUUCAAAUUAUUUCUUGCAAAGCUCCUUACAAUUAUUAAGUUCGAUUAUCUUUUUUCAUUGACAAUCAAAGAUAUAACGUCGUUCUUGGACUAAUUUUUAUCAGGCAAACGUUAAUAAUCGACUGGUAAUAAUUUCAUGACAAUUCAUAUUUCCAUUGCCGGAUGAUUUAUUAAAUGCCAGAAAGUAUCACUUUCAUUUCAUGGAUUUAUUGCGAAAUUCGAAUAUUAUUCGUUUCUUUUUUAUCUCUCAUUCGAGAUAUAAUAUCGUCAUAACAUAUUUUACCAUUACAUACCUAGGAAUUACUGGCUCAUGAUAUCUUACAUGUACGUAACGAAAACUGCGCAAGAGUAAAUAGGAAAAUGACGAAUUUGCGAUCGUAGUCGUACAAUUAUCUAGAACCAGUUGAAUAAGACGUACAUCGAGCAAACAAGUUGAAAAUGAUAUUGGACAUCUAAUAAUUCGCUGAAAAUUGUGCAGUGUUUGCGUUUAAAGGAAGUUUACAUGCGCGAUAUUUAAACAAAUUUUCUUUCUUCAGCUAGUUGCAUGUAGAUUAAUAAAAAUACUUGUAUUCGUUGAAUUCUUUCGGUUCUUGGUAUGAACUGCAAGAAUCUCGGAGAAUGUUAUCUGAAUUCCGGGGUUGGAGUGGACUGCAAGAACGGUCAGAGCGCAUGCGACUGGAAUUACAUUCAACGAAAUGACACUGUGUGCGACUUCAACAAGGAAGGGGAGGGGCGAGGAAGGCGAAGAGGAAGUUGUGACAUAAAAAAAGAAAAGAAAAUAAAAAAGACCACGAACCGUUGAGCUGCAAUCUCUAUGGAUUAUCAGGUUCAAAAGGCUUAAUGCACAAAGGCCGCCCAAGGCAGGUGAAUGUGGUGAAGUUGGGAGGGUGUGUCUCAGGAAGAAAGCGGAUGAAUAGUACUGAAACGAAAGGGGGUGCGCGAUAACUGUUGAUCUCUCGUCGACUCUGCCCUCGAACGGCGACAGAAGAACCGAAAUAAGCACGUGACAUUAUCUUGAAAACAAUGAGACUCCGAUACGGUAUUUACCAGCGAUCGAACGACGAAAAUGUUCUUGGCGAUGUUCCUUUAUUGUCGAUUUCGAGUACUAUUAUUCCAUGACCAAUUUAACAAUAAUACUAUUAGAUAUCGUAAAUUAAAAAAGGAAGAUUUUCUGGUGGAUAUAGGCCGAUCUAACAAAAUUGUUCUUGUGUUAUACUGUUACAAGAAAAACCUGGAUUCUAAUACUAAAUUUUGAUGUCCGAAAUGUAAGUUAAUUUCGAAGCAAGCAUAUGUUGUAGAGUGUUAUACUUUGUAUCUGGCUAAGUAUAUCAUGAUAAAACUCUGUUUAAAUGCCAUUCGUUUCAAUGAAUUUGCAUAAACAUCUGCGUUGUCCAGACGAGUUAUAAUAUAAAGGCAUUGACUUUAAAUAUGUUAAUUAUUGAAAUAUAUUUAACGCGUAAAUUUAUCUCAAAUUACGUAAUAAAUUCCAUCACUAUAAUAGAAACUAUCCGGUUACCAUUAAACAAAGCAAAUGAUUUGCGUGAGUAGAUAAUAGUUUCAGCAAAUUUUUAUUACGCCUACUGUACCAUCUAACGUUUCUGUACCGUUCUCGUGACAGAUAUCAUGACGAAAAGUACUUCACCCUUACUCUGUCUCUCUUUUCACGAAAGGGUGAAUAAAACGCAGCGUGAAAUUGUGCGAGACUCGUCGUGUCAAGUAUAAUGACUUGACGGUUCGUACCACCUAUGUGAACCGUAUCUAGAUGCCAACAGGAAUGAAAAUAAAUGGGAAGGACAUAUGUGAACAAUUUAUGAUGUCCUUCUCUUUCUUCUGUUUUUAAGAAAGAAACUUCUGUUUUGGUAUAAUGGUUUUCGUUCAGGCAUAGGCAAACGAACAAAUGAUUACGACGCCUCGUUACCAUUUUUAACGAGGAUAUCGUUUAAUCUCUGACACUCUCUGAUAUGCUUGUUACAGUGAUAUAAAUUGUUUAUCAGACGAUUGGCCACCGGACGUGAAAUUUUCAGUUCGAACUGUGCAGAAUAAUAUUUCUUAGAAUUGUCCAUAUUGGAAUACGUAUUUCUAAUUUUAUUUAUUAAUUACUGUUGGAAAUAUCCUAAUGGAGGAAGUUAAAAAGAAUCGUAUAUAAAAUAUUACAUUUAUUAUGGAAUAUAAAGAAUAAAUUAGAAAACCUAAAUGGUAAUAUACACUUGCUACAGAGUUGUUUAGAGCUGUUUUUCCGAAAUUCUUCGCAAGUAUCUAAAAUUCGUUUUUCAAUUGAAAAUACGAUGUAGGUAAACUUCGGACCUGAAGGCUUAUCAUUUUCUUUUUGGAUAGUAAAAGUAAAUUCAUUAUUACCUAAAACAGAAACAUAAUAUUCAUAAUAUGGCAAUAUAUCGUUCUCUGUUCUCUAAGAAAAAUAUGAAAGAAUAAAAAUACAACAAGGAUCGUUCCUAAUAUCUAAAACUUAAUAUUUAAGACCUGACAUAAAAGUAUAUAAGAGUUAUGAUAGAAGUAAAUGAUUCUAUAGAAUGAAUUGAUACUAUUGUUUGUUAUUAUAUUUAUACAUUUGUGAUAGCUAAUGGAUAAUUCCAACACUAGAGCAUUAAUAACUAUUAGUUAUCAUCAGAGUGCACUGCAUAAUUUAUUUAUCUAUUGAAUUUAUCUUUUUGUUCAAUAGUAUAUGUAACACUUACGUAUUUAUAAAAACGGUGUAUCUCGAGUUAAUGCUCUUAGUGUUGGUGAGCUGAAUGAUCUCCAUGACUCAUAGUAUUUGAAUCAUACAUUAUAAAGAACAUUAUACACCAAACACAAAAGAGUACCACGAAGAGAACUAACGUUAUACUGUUAAAUGUAUCCCAUCCGAGUAUUAUUUCAUUAACUGUCUUGAACUCUUUUUUAAAUACAAUUCUUGUACUUGUACCGCAAAUUGUUUCUCCAUUUUGACUAUAAGCGUUCAUCUUAAACUUAUCUGUGUUACUAUUUUUGUACUAUAACAAAUAUUUUAUAUUUAACCUGUGAUAGCUCUCCUGCACCGACAAUCCACUGAAUGAUCGAAAUACUGAUUAUGUUGUACAAUAAAUAGUGACUCCUGAUUAGAUAACGAUCGUGUCCAAUUGAUUAUAGU